UACAGAGGGGGCAAGCGUUGUUCGGAAUUACUGGGCGUAAAGGGCGCGUAGGCGGCCAACUAAGUCGGACGUGAAAUCCCCAGGCUCAACCUGGGAACUGCGUCCGAUACUGAUUGGCUCGAGUUCGGGAGAGGGAAGGGGAAUUCCAGGUGUAGCGGUGAAAUGCGUAGAUAUCUGGAGGAACACCGGUGGCGAAGGCGGCUCCCUGGACCGACACUGACGCUGAGGCGCGAAAGCCAGGGGAGCAAACGGG
rnacentral:rRNA from 1 species